UACGAGUGCCCCAAGCGUUAUCCGGAAUCAUUGGGCGUAAAAGGGUGUGUAGGUGGUAGUGUUAGUCAUCUGUUAAAUUCUUCGGCUUAACCGGGGGCAUGCAGGUGAAACGGCACAACUAGAGGAUGCGAGAGGAACAUGGAACUCAUGGAGUAGGGGUGAAAUCCGUUGAUAUCAUGGGGAACACCGGAAAGCGAAGGCAAUGAUUCUGGCGCACUCCUGACACUGAAACACGAAAGCGUAGGAUAGCGAAAUGGG
rnacentral:rRNA from 1 species